rnacentral:rRNA from 1 species
ACCUCUCAAUCUAGAACCGAGUCUUGCUUGCGACCGCCGUCCGAAUUGUGUACGUUCAGCUCGCGCAUCGUUAUGCUCGCCGUCUGCCCACUCAUUGCGCACCCUUAGAUGGGAAAAGAUGCCUUAUUGCGUCCCUUUGAACACGAUUAUGGCAUACUCGGGAAGCCCCCUUUCUAAAUAGCCCUUUCCUACUCGGGCGCAACCUAAUCGAUCAACCACCCCAUUUCCGGAUGGUUCCGCUGCUAGGUAUCGACCAGACUCUCCUACUAGUCGGUGUAACCCUGACUCUGUGCCGGGUUUGAGGAUGCCCUCCGUCGUCACCCCUUAUAACCUGUUACCCGCGUUCGGACUAGGUCGGUACGGCGCACUCACUACUUCCGGGAUCCCAACAUUUCGAGAAAGUGGCCACUUCUAUUACUGCCAUUGGCCUCUUCUUCGGGGCCGAUUGAAGCACGGUCGUCGGCGCCAUUAUGCUUCCCCCGAUCGCAACAAGCCUUAAUGACCCGCAUUUCGCGUGCAUCCGCCUAACAAUUCACUCCCCACUUUAGGGUCCCGAGUUGGGACCUUGACGGAAAGUAUGACCGUUAGAUCUCAGGUCUUCUCCACUCACCUUAAGGCUCACAUCUCCACUUUAAGCAUCUAUAAGCCUCCUUGUGGUCACCGCUUCCGCCGAGUGACCAGACCAUGACUGCGACUCCACGCUUUCGCACCCCUCGUUUGUCCUAAUCUAUGGGACCAUCAGGUGCGGCAUUUGCUACUUACAAUCGGCAGCCCGUCAAAUGACAAGCCACCGCGUCGAUUGCGUAAUUUGUAAGGCGGACCCCUCAUGCCAGCGUUCUAAUUUUGAGUUUCCUUAACUGCCCCCGGGCGUGUUCGCCACCUCGUACACCAAAUUAAGCUUCGUUGCGCGUCUUGGAAUGGUCGGGAACUGUAGGGCCAGCGCCUAUGCUCUCUAGCAUAGGAAGUCAAGCCGACCUGGCCUCUGUCCACGACGUACCGACAGCAGUCGAGCACAGCACUCUACAACCCAAUUCAGGGCGUUGCUCGCGUUGGGAGCGGGAAUCAACGGUCGUAAACCAACCCGUGAGAUUCCCCUGACGGCCACUAUUCGGCUCUCCUUCCACCCCUACUGCAGUUCAGGAGUACCGGGAAUGCCCGACCCGAUGUGUGCACGAUGUUACCACCACUGUCACCCGUCGCUCUGGCGCUCCAGCUCGAUUAGAGGUUUUCGGUAGAGUCAAGCCUAACGUGAGACGUUGAGCUCACGUACUUCAACCUUAGCGAUCAUUAGCGUCUAGUCGUACGACGCCACUUAUGCAAGGGCCCGGAACAUGUGUGGCGGGCAGUGUGGUACCCUCAACCAAGAUGG